rnacentral:siRNA from 1 species
UCAAUCAAAGCCUAUUGUCUC